CCAGCUUGCUGGGGGGAUUAGUGGCGAACGGGUGNGUAACACGUGAGUAACCUGCCCUUAACUCUGGGAUAAGCCUGGGAAACUGGGUCUAAUACCGGAUAUGACUCCUCAUCGCAUGGUGGGGGGUGGAAAGCUUUUUGUGGUUUUGGAUGGACUCGCGGCCUAUCAGCUUGUUGGUGAGGUAAUGGCUCACCAAGGCGACGACGGGUAGCCGGCCUGAGAGGGUGACCGGCCACACUGGGACUGAGACACGGCCCAGACUCCUACGGGAGGCAGCAGUGGGGAAUAUUGCACAAUGGGCGGAAGCCUGAUGCAGCGACGCCGCGUGAGGGAUGACGGCCUUCGGGUUGUAAACCUCUUUCAGUAGGGAAGAAGCGAAAGUGACGGUACCUGCAGAAGAAGCGCCGGCUAACUACGUGCCAGCAGCCGCGGUAAUACGUAGGGCGCAAGCGUUAUCCGGAAUUAUUGGGCGUAAAGAGCUCGUAGGCGGUUUGUCGCGUCUGCCGUGAAAGUCCGGGGCUCAACUCCGGAUCUGCGGUGGGUACGGGCAGACUAGAGUGAUGUAGGGGAGACUGGAAUUCCUGGUGUAGCGGUGAAAUGCGCAGAUAUCAGGAGGAACACCGAUGGCGAAGGCAGGUCUCUGGGCAUUAACUGACGCUGAGGAGCGAAAGCAUGGGGAGCGAACAGGAUUAGAUACCCUGGUAGUCCAUGCCGUAAACGUUGGGCACUAGGUGUGGGGGACAUUCCACGUUUUCCGCGCCGUAGCUAACGCAUUAAGUGCCCCGCCCUGGGGAGUACGGCCGCAAGGCUAAAACUCAAAGGAAUUGACGGGGGCCCGCACAAGCGGCGGAGCAUGCGGAUUAAUUCGAUGCAACGCGAAGAACCUUACCAAGGCUUGACAUGGACUGGAAAUACCUGGAAACAGGUGCCCCGCUUGCGGUCGGUUCACAGGUGGUGCAUGGUUGUCGUCAGCUCGUGUCGUGAGAUGUUGGGUUAAGUCCCGCAACGAGCGCAACCCUCGUUCUAUGUUGCCAGCGCGUGAUGGCGGGGACUCAUAGGAGACUGCCGGGGUCAACUCGGAGGAAGGUGGGGACGACGUCAAAUCAUCAUGCUCCUUAUGUCUUGGGCUUCACGCAUGCUACAAUGGCCGGUACAAAGGGUUGCGAUACUGUGAGGUGGAGCUAAUCCCAAAAAGCCGGUCUCAGUUCGGAUUGGGGUCUGCAACUCGACCCCAUGAAGUCGGAGUCGCUAGUAAUCGCAGAUCAGCAACGCUGCGGUGAAUACGUUCCCGGGCCUUGUACACACCGCCCGUCAA
rnacentral:rRNA from 1 species